CAACAGGUAGUGGGCAUCACGGUCGUCAACAGGUAGUGGGCAUCACGGUCGUCAACAGGUAGUGGGCAUCACGGUCGUCAACAGGUAGUGGGCAUCACGGUCGUCAACAGGCAGUGGGCAUCACGGUCGUCAACACGUACAUCCUGUAGAGAUGUUAUUAGAAAUUCGUUUGAGUAACGCAGUGUGGCAUUUGUUUCUAUAUUCAGUUA